UACAGAGGGGGCAAGCGUUGUUCGGAAUUACUGGGCGUAAAGGGCGCGUAGGCGGCCCGCUAAGUCGAGCGUGAAAUCCCCGAGCUCAACUCGGGAACUGCGUCCGAUACUGGUGGGCUUGAAUCCGGGAGAGGGAUGCGGAAUUCCAGGUGUAGCGGUGAAAUGCGUAGAUAUCUGGAGGAACACCGGUGGCGAAGGCGGCAUCCUGGACCGGCAUUGACGCUGAGGCGCGAAAGCUAGGGGAGCAAACAGG
rnacentral:rRNA from 1 species